CAGAGACAGAGCCAAGUGAUCUCCCGCAGCACCUGCCCUCUCCUGAGCUAUGCCUCUGGCCUUCCCGCCUCCUCCUCCACACGGACCUCCGCGCCCCCUGAAGAAGGGGGGAAAAAGAAAUACGCAUUAAUACCUCGAGCCUUGGCGCACCAGCCCUCGCCCCCUCAACCACCUGUCUCUGCGUUCUCCCCCGCAGCCUUCCUCAACUCUGGGCGCCCCCUCUGCAGCAAAGGGGCACCACGCCCACUGCGGAGAGGAGAAAUGCAAGGGAUAUCUCCACUGGACGCCCAACCUCACAUUUCCGCCUGUAGAAAUUCCACCUGUCCUUUAAGGCCAACUCGAAAACCUCUUCCUCUCUGAUUUUCCCAAUCAGCAAUGUCAUUUAUGACCUCAGUUUUCUGAGAGUAUGUCUUUUAUGGCUGUUAACAUGUUAUAAACACACCUGUAUUUAUUUCUGUGGUUGGUUUUCUUAUCUCCUUCUAGAUAGCAAAACUGUUUUAAGAUCAGUUUCUCCCUCUGCAACUACUAAGGGCCUUACAUGGUAUGCCUUCGACAAACAGUUCUUAAGUAAUCAGAGAGAUUGGAUUGAGAGAAUAGGAGGCCCAGCAAAUGCCUUUGCUCUACCUGCACCUUUCCUCCCUUCCUGAUGCUCCACCACAUGGACCUCUAGGCGUCUGGAAAACAGAAUCCUCAAGUUGAUAGGCUUAUCUCAUUCAUUCCUGCUCCUCCAGGCAAGGCAGCCAUAAUUUAGGGGUUCCUGGAUGAAGUUGCAAGACAAGUUCAUGCAGGACACACAUACCAAAUAGCAGAUAUUCUACCACCAGUGUCUCCUAGUCCAGUGAGGGAUGUCCCCACCCGCCUGGUGCACAAGCAAUGUGGAUGUCAUCCUUGACUUUUCCAUCUCACUUCCCUCCUUUCUUGCACAUAUGCCAAUCAAUCACCACAUCCUGAUUCUACUUCCUAAAUCUUAAAUCUCUAAGAUUGGCCCUCUCUUUAUUCCUAGCUCAUUCCACCAUUAUUUCUUGCUGGGAUUUCUGCAUUUGUCUCUAGCCUAACUCGCCUACCUGCCUCCAGCCUCACUAGGCCCAGAUCCAGUCUCCACAUCUGCUGUGUACUGAAUGUCUGUAUCUCCCUAAAGCUUGUUUGUGUGCUCUUUCUCUCUCUCUCCCUCUCUGCUUUCCAACACGGGAGGAUACAGUGAGAAGAUGGCCAACUGCAAACCAGGAAGCAGACCUUCUCCAGACACAGAUCUGCUGAUGCCUUGAUCUUAGACUACCUUGCCUCCAGAAUGGUGAGAAAUAAAUGUUGUUUAAGCCACUCAGUCUGUGGUAUUCUGUUGUAGCAGCUUGGACUAAGACAA
rnacentral:lncRNA from 10 species